rnacentral:rRNA from 1 species
UACGUAGGGUGCGAGCGUUAAUCGGAAUUACUGGGCGUAAAGCGUGCGCAGGCGGUUUUGUAAGCCAGAUGUGAAAGCCCCGGGCUCAACCUGGGAAUGGCAUUUGGGACUGCAAGGCUUGAGUGCGGCAGAGGAGACUGGAAUUUCUGGUGUAGCAGUGAAAUGCGUAGAUAUCAGGAGGAAUACCGAUGGCGAAGGCAGGUCUCUGGGCUGACACUGACGCUCAUGCACGAAAGCGUGGGGAGCAAACAGG